CGGAUUAUAGAUCAUUCCGGAUUAUGGACAUCCGGAUUAAAGACUUUUGACUAAUAAUAAUGCAUUAUAAAAGACUGCAAUGGUCAGCCUCAAUGUAACUUUUUGCAAUCUUUUUAUCAGUUUCCUUUAUAAUGCAAUGUUUUGCAAUCACUUUAUCAGUUUCCUUCUAUUGAAACUUUCAAGCAUUAUUUCACAGCAUUAUCGUACACAACUUUUGCUGUUUGUAAACUUCGUUUUUAUUUUUAGAUUUCUGAGUGUAAUAUUUUACAGAAAUUUUAAAAAAAAAAAAAAAAAAUCCCACCUCUCACAUCCCGUAAAUUUUUAUUGUAGCAUUGCAUUAAAUGUACAGCAAGUGUCAUUUUAAACUUCUCAUUUGCAAAACCUUCACCUCAUUAGUUUUCCAAAUGUUCAGCUCUGUGGGCCAAGCAAUAGUCUAAUCUUCACUAAUGAAACUGGCUAUCUGUGCAUAAUUUCUCAUGCAUUUAUGUACACAUAAUUGUAAUAAUUAAAAUCAUUACAAUUAACUUUAUGGACAAACAAACCAACUUUUAUGGAGAAAAUAUGCUAUUGUGAACAGUCCCUAUUGAGAAUAUGAAAAGUUUCUUUAAAAGACCAUAUUUAUGUGCCAUAUAAUUUGUAAUAUCACCAAACAUAAAGCUGUUAUCUAUAAUUUUGUGAUAUUUUAUUAUUCUGUGAAACAUUAGUAAGCUGAUUUUUUAAUUCAGUGGUUGCGCCUCUUGAAUUAUAGUCACUUUAUGUAAUAUUUGAACUCAUGUGAAAGAAGCUGAAAUAUUAAAUUUUUGGAAACAAAAAUCAAUUUUUUAACUUCAUGUUUUUAAUAAAAGGCAAUUUUCAUUACUUGAAAUUUUUAACUAAUAAUUUUUCUUUAAAUUUUUAGUUGGUUAUGACUUCUAUGGAGAAGAAAUUUUUUAUAGUGGAACUUCUGGUGAAGAACUAGAAGCUGCUGUGUUUUGUGGCUCAGCGUAUUAUUUAAAAUUGUGCCAUAUUGUUGAAGAAAAAUAUCAAGUUUGCAGUGUAGGAGAGGUUGAUCCUAAAACUCAACAGCCAGUAAAUCUUGGAAAAUCAGGUGCUGUUCGUUUCGGUGAAAUGGAGAGAGAUGCAAUUCUCUCACAUGGUGCAGUUAAACUGACUAUGGAUCGUUUGUUGCAUAAUAGUGAUAAAUACACAGCAUAUAUUUGUUUAAGAUGUCAUACAAUGCUAUAUCCAGUUCUUCAGCAUGCGGAAGAAAAUCUACAUGAUAAUUUAAAAGAAAAUAAGACCUGCAAUGUAUGCAGGAAAUCAAAAGUUCACAAGAUAUGCAUUCCAUACGUAUUAGUUUAUCUUAUAGCUGAACUUUCAGUUAUGGGCAUAAAAGUGGAAUUUUGUACUGAGGAUAAUUGCAAUAACAUUAUUCCUUAAUGUGUAUGCAAAUGAUAAUAGAUAUUGUGAAAAUUUUAUUGCAAUCUUAAAACCACUUGCAGUGUUAUUUGAGUUUGAUUUUCUAUUAUUCUAUGAGGGUAGAAUUUCAUUUUAAAUCUAAUACUUUUAUGUAUUAUUUUGUAUAUUUAUUUUAUUUUAUUUUAUUUUAUUUAUUUUUUUUUUUUUUCUGUUCAAAAGCCAAUCAAAUUAGAAUUGAGGGAAAGUGCCUUAAACAAAAGAUACUCUGCUUGAUAACAAAAUUAAUAUGAAAAUAAAGAGGAACGAAAGAAGAGAAAAGUGGUGAUAAGAUUGAAUAUUCUGGAAUACACAGUAAAGAAAAAUAAAGUAAAUCAUCCCUCUGUGUUCAAAUGUGGAACUAAUUCUGAUUUUUCUUCAGCAAAAUCAAAAGUUCUUUAGGUUACUUUUGCUAAACAUGUUAUUAUUUAUACAAAAAAUAAAAUGAAAUUUCCUCUAAAAACUAUAAUUAAAUUAUUUGAUGUUCUUUGAUUUUGAGAAUAAGAAGAUUAUGAACAGAAUAAGAGGGAAAAGGUAACUUCAUAGGAAUUUAUUUGUGCAAUUCUAUCAAUUGAACCAAGAUAAAAGUAUUUCUAGUUCCUUGAUAAUCUGAUUUUCGUAAAUUUUUAUAAAUAUUUUUUGGUUUCUGCACCAAGGCAAGACGAUGACAGAAGUUGAAAAAGUUGGCAAGAUAUCAGAAAACUUUUGUAUAAAAUGUGUACAUAUUUGAAAUAUUUUUUCCCAGUUCCUUGAUAAUCUGAUUUUCGUAAAUUUUUAUAAAUAUUUUUCAGUUUCUGCAGCAAGGCAAGUUGGCAAGAUAUCAGAAAUUUUUUGUAUAAAUCGUGUACAUAUUUGAAAUAUUUUGUAAAGUUUAUGCUUAUUAAAAAUUUUAUGAAUGUG
rnacentral:lncRNA from 1 species